GCACAGCACCCUCUCGGUCAUUAAAGGUGGCAUCAUCAACACUAGUGCCCAACCUACAUGGCCUUAAACAAGCAGGAAGCCAGGCUCUUCCCAGACUCCUCCCCUCUUUGCUGGCACUUUGCCUGGAGUUCAGACUCCACUCAGACACCUGCUUGGAUAUGGCUGUUUCAGCUUUUAACAAAUCAUUAUCACCCCCUCCUUCCUUUCUCUUCAUUCUUUGUCUCUUCUUUCCUCCUUCCACUAGUUUUUCCCUUCCAGUCACUCAUGCAGUAUCUUUCAGAAGGUUUUAAUUUAUUUAUUUUUCAUGUACAAGUGUUUUGCCUACAUGGGAAUAUGUGGACCAGGUUCGUGCAGUGUACAGAAAGGCCAGAAGAGCAUGUUGGGCUCCUUGGAACUGAUAAAAGCUUAAGAGGAGAGGUCUUCAUCAGGAAGCCCAGCCAUCAGUGUGGAAAGAACCUUCUGGUGGCAGCCCAGAUGGAAGGACAUGGAAGAAGGAAACUUGGCUCUCUGUCUCGUUGGUCUCACUCUCGCUGCAAGUCCUUCUAUCCUGCUCUAUUGUUUUGCUGUUGUUAACUCUUCCAGCUUCCAAUGUAGAUUGAGACCACCAUUUCUCUGCUGGGACACCCAGUCUCAUGUCUCACCUCACUGAGAAACUACUAGAUUCUCGGAUUCUGCAGUGUGAGAAAGCUCUCAUUGGACUUCCUGGACUGUAUCCUUUAUUGAAUAGGACAUCAUUAGAAGACUGUCUUCAUACACUCUGGCCAUCUGGACAAGAUAUUACGCAGUUACAUAUGCUUUCACUAGGUAGCCAUGGAGCUUGGAACUUCUGAUCUCCCUUCCUCAAUUCCCUCCUACCAUAACCUCAGGAUUGCAGGUAUGUGCUACUGCCCCUCUGCAGAGAUUGCAGGUGUGUUCCUUCAUCUAAUGCUUUGUGUUGUUUUUAAAUAUUGCUUACUCAUUAAGUUGGUGGAUGAGUGAGAGUACACUCAUGCAUAUGGGGGUCAGAG
rnacentral:lncRNA from 1 species